CUCACAGAGAUUUGGCAAGAGAGGCUGUGAGGAAAUCACUUGUACUAUUGAAGAAUGGAGAAAAUGCUGAUAGCCCUGUACUUCCACUACCCAAAAAAGCAUCCAAAAUCUUAGUUGCUGGAAGCCAUGCUAACAAUCUAGGAUUUCAAUGUGGUGGUUGGACAAUAACAUGGCAAGGACAAGGUGGCAACAACCACACUGCUGGAACCACAAUCUUUAACGGGAUCUCGACUGCAGUUCAUCCAAGUACAGAAAUCUCCUACGGUGAAAGCCCGGAUGAGGAUUUUGUAAAAUCCAAUAACUUUUCCUAUGCCGUGGUUGUGGUAGGAGAACCUCCCUAUGCUGAAUCUGAAGGUGACAAUUCAAACCUUACCAUUCCUCAACAAGGUUUGGACACAAUUAAGAAUGUUUGUGGCAGCGUCAAGUGUGUGGUUGUUCUUGUAUCCGGUCGACCUUUGGUGAUUCAGCCCUACCUUAACUCUAUCGAUGCAUUAGUGGCUGCGUAACUUUUCCUAUGCCGUGGUUGUGGUUGGAGAACCUCCCUAUGCUGAAUCUGAAGGUGACAAUUCAAACCUUACCAUUCCUCAACAAGGUUUGGACACGAUUAAGAAUGUUUGUGGCAGCGUCAAGUGUGUGGUUGUUCUUGUAUCCGGUCGACCUUUGGUGAUUCAACCCUACCUUAACUCCAUCGAUGCAUUAGUGGCUGCUUGGCUACCGGGAACAGAAGGCAACGGGGUGGCUGAUGUCCUCUUCGGGGACUAUGGGUUCACCGGGAAGUUGUCAAGAACUUGGUUCAAGACUAUAGAUCAGCUCCCCAUGAAUGUUGGUGAUUCACACUAUGAUCCACUCUUCCCCUUUGGUUAUGGAUUGACCACAGAACCAGUCACAUCAAGUUAGAUUGAUUUUCUUUUAGUUGGUAGAGUUUGUUUAGCAUCUUUUUGCUUUUAGAAUUUUUAUUUUUUAUUUUCAAAAUUUCCCUGGCUAUUGGAGAUAUUUGGCAACUUAAUCUAAUGUGGGGAUUUUUUCUUUUUCAUUCUGUGAUCUUUUGUUAUGUUAUGAUCAAUAACUCUCUUUUGUGUUUUUCAUACAAUUGACUGCACAAUUAAAUCUACAAGUUCUUAAUGAAGAACUAAAAGCGUGUAACAGAGAAAAUUACAUAAACCUUUGAACUUAUAGAGUAACACAAGUCUAUCUUGAGAAUUUAUUAUUAUUAUUAUUAUUAUUAUUAUUAUUAUUAUUAUUAUUAUUAUUAUUAUUAUUAUUUUUGAAUAAUCCAUUCCAAUUUUAAAAGUAAAGAACAAUAUUUGGCUUUUUUUAUUCACGCAGGUCCCAUUCGCAUGCGAAUGUAUGUCAAUCAAAGUGUCAAAUAUUUUCUGACAACAGAGCUUAAUUCUAAAACUUUUGGUUACCACUCGUGACAGAUUUUGCAAGCAGGGAUCCGAAAACUUUUGCAUAUUUUAAAUCCUAUAAAAUAAUCCAAAAAAUACACCUAAGUUGGCGCAAUGUAUUCAUAUUCAGAGUUUUGAACUCUUUUAAAUAAGUUUCUAGUAAGACAAUUUGUUCAAAUUUGUUUAUUCUCUAAAAUAGAAAAUUCGUUUUUGAAAAAAUAUAUUAUUGAGAUAAUAUCAUGGGCUUUGUCCGCCCCCCUGACCGAACCCCACCAAUAGGUGGGGGUGUCCGAUUCUUUUUUUGCUUGGUACCCACCCCUAUGGGUGGAGUUCAGUUAGGGGGCCUAUCAAACACUCUGUUUUUCUAGCAAAAUUCUAAAAUUAUUGUGCAAAAAAUAGGGAAAUUAAAAGAUAACUACUUUAAUGAAAGAUAAUGUCCUAUAAAAAAUAAGAAAGAAAAGAACAUUGUGUAUCUAUAAUUUACAUAAAUUACUCAAAAUUUAAAUCUCGUUAUAAGAAAUUGGAUUUGGGUACAUCAAAAGUGCCCCAAUCACAGCAUGUUAUGCUUUUGCCAUGAUGGAAUAAGUGCAAAUCACAUUUAAUGAUCAUUUCGACCAUCACAUCAUCAUUUCGAACAAAUUUGUUAAAGUGAUGGAUGAUUAUUCAAUCACAAUAAUUCUAUCCCCACCCUUAGAGAUGAAUUCAAAUCGAAUUUAAGCCAUAACUUUUAACUCAAAUCAUUGCGCAUUCUCGAAAUGCUCUGUAACAUCAUAUUCUUUAUGCAACUAUAUUUGGCUUCAAGAUACUCAAAAUACGAGAUUCACGAUACAGAUAGAGAUAGCUUUGUGGUCAACUUCUAUUCUGCUUGUUGGAAGGUUCGUUUGGAUCUCUUCCCAAGUCAUUCCACUCAAUAUCCGAGAAAUGAUAGGCUUUUGGCGCCCGCAAAGAUAGCGAAUAAUGCAACGGAUGAUCAUGAUUUCAAUCUAUGCGGCUAUCUUAGGGAAUUAACGUUGUUACACGUUACUUGAUCAGAAACAAUAAUUCAUUUUCAAGCUAUACCGACAAUAAGUAUCAUUAUCUCUUAUUAGAUAGACAAACCAUAUCUAUUAUCAUGAAAUUCACAUUUUCUUAUGUACUUCUAAAAGCUUGGUCUUACUCCAGCCUUCUCCUUUUCGGUCCUAUUCAAAAGAGAAUUCAGUACUUUUUGUUUGUAAAUAACUGAACUUGUUGUUCAUUAAAAUAAUUUGAAUCGACUUGAGUAAAAAAAUUGGCUCAUUUUGAAAAUCAAAUUAUUAAAUUCCAACAAAAUUUCUUAUUCUCAUAUUUGUCAUUCCUAAUCUAAAUUCCGAAUCUUCGUCUUGGAAGUUGAAAAGCUUCUUGAAAUUUUUCAUCUCGAAUCAUAUUAAGCCCCCGUUUGAGCCUCAUUAUUUCUCAUUAAAUUAAAUUUUUCACUCUUCUACUUUUAACCACACAAUUUUCAAUAAAAUAAUAUUACACGUAAAUCAAAAAUUUUUCAAUCACUCAUUUUUCAAAAAAUUACUAUUAAUCUCAUUUUAAUCUAUCAAUAAUGGGGCUCAAACGGUCCCUAAAUAAAAACCACCUAAUCCAAAAAAAUCCUAAUUUGUAUAUCUAUGUAGAGUAGAACAGAGAAAGAAAGACUCCUUACAUGGUAUUCCACGCUGAGCACAACAUCCUUACACACUCAUUUCACAUGUUAGGCGUAGCUAGUGUAAUCGACGGCUAGGAAAAUGCCUUUAACGCUAUCCCAUUUCCCUUCCUUUUCCAAAUAUUUUUACGGAUACACUUUUUUUAUAUACUCGGGAGUGGGUGCAGGGAGGACGAUUUUACAAUGCACUUUUCUUUUAUACCACGCACAACAUCCUUACGCACCCAUCAAACUUUUAAUAAAGUUUCUUCUUAGACCGUCAACUAAGCCCCUAUUAGAAUUUCUAAGAGGUCAGGGGAGAACUCCUUUUUUCCAAAAUUAUUUUCCAAUUUUAUUUCCAAUUUUAAAUUAGUAAAACUUUAAAAGCAUCGUUACCUUAUUUGUUUUCUAUUGAGUAUGCGAUUCAUGCAACGUCUCCUUUUGAAUUAUGAAUUCUAUUUUUUCUGUAACAAAUAAUAAUAUUCAGUUAUACAUAUAAAUAUGAAAAAAAAAUUCGAUAUUUUAUCCAAAAACGUGGGUUAUAAGAUAAUGUCGGAACACGUUGCUUGACUAUGGAAAUUGUUUGGGUUUUAGUUUCUCAGACUCUCGUUUUAAAUCAACUUUAAAUUACUUAUUUUUCCAAAUAUAAUUUUCUAGUAGGCUGAUUUAUUAUAUAUAUUUUUCUUUUUGUGCCUUUGAUUUCAAAGAUUUACCGUAUAUUUGUUUGAUUUUUAAUUAUUUUCACUUAAUUUUAAACUAUUUAUUUUUCGAAUAUAAUUUUUUAAAGAAUAAGUUCUUUUAAAUACUUUCAAUGUUCAAACAUGUUCGAAUGACGUAAAAAUUACAGUAUGAAGAACAAAUUUUCAGAAAAAAUAAAAAAGUAAAAUUGUGUGUGAGUGAUGCAAAUUACAUAUGAAAUUAAUUGAGCAACGAAUACUAUUUAAUUUAAACUGAAUUAUAAUCCUAAUUGAAUAAGCAGUCCUAAUCAAAUCUGAAGCCAUGCAAAAAUCGUAUUUGUGUAAGAACACCAACGCCUCAUCGAAUUUGAAGCCAUUCUAAUAUCCUAAUUGUGUAAGAACACUAACACCUUGCAUGUCUAUAUAAACCCACGUAAUAUUACCAUAGAGUUUGUUUAGCAUCUUUUUGCUUUUAGAAUUUUCUUUUUCUUUUUUUUCAAAUUUUCCCUGGCUAUUAGAGAUAUUUGGCAAAUUAAUCUAAUGUAGGGGUUUUUUCUUUUUCAUUCUGUGAUCUUUUGUUAUGUUAUGAUCAAUAACUUUCUUUUG
rnacentral:lncRNA from 1 species